GGGUAUAGUUAAAGAUCCAUAGGGCAUGGCAGUAGCAAAGAGUGACUAGAUAGCCUCCAAACAGCAGAUAUUUUUCAGGCAAGAGCUCCUUCGGUGAGGGCACAGAGCCUAUGAACUCUCAAAGGUUCGUCUCCAAAGUCACUUUCCGAGUCAGACACAGUAUCAAAUCAUAUCCUGGGUGGCCAUUGUUCACAAAGUGAUAAAGCGUAGCUCCUUUCCAACAGUAAAAUUAAAACGCAGCGAAAAUCGAUCGUAGUUUCAACAUGUGAAGGAGAGAAUGUAUGUAGUUGUGAUGAUAGCACAAUACAGCGUGCUGAAAGGGGGCGUGUCGGAAAGGGUCAGGGCUUCUUAAAGAGACAGAGGCCUAUUUCAAGACGUUCACUACAACCAUUUUGCGAGAGCAAAUUUAUUCAAGGCAGUUAUUUUAAUUUACUGCAUUUACAGACAAACAUAAGUUUGGAUCAUCAUUGUAGACUGGUACUAUGUGACUGAAAAAAGCACAAUACCCCCUCUUUAAAGGAAAUGACUUAUUAUUUAUUUAUUUAUUUUUCUAUUUUUUGCCCAUUGAAAAAAAGCCCAUGUUUGCCCCAUUUCUCCCAUUUUUUUCUUAUUUUUGCCCCAUUUUUUCUCGUUUUCCUUUCUUCUUUUUCCCCCAGUAAUUUUUCCAAAUUUUUUAUUACCAAUAGUUUCCCUAUUUCCCCCAUUUUUUCCCAUCCAAAAAAAUUUCACAGUAACCAGCCCUAAACAUUACACAUUAGAGGGAAAAUGGCCAAAAUUGUCUAUAUUGUCAGAGACUAAAUCAAAAUAACAGAUCAUGAUAUCAAACUGUACCUGGCCCGGUGGCGUGGACUUCCGGAGUCUCCGUCUUCACCCCGUACGCGUGAAUGGAAUACGGUCGGGACGCCAUGUUUUUGAAGACCACCUUCACUUUGUCUCCAAUGCUGGCGUGAAUCAUGGUACCCAUGAUGCCGAGGUGCUCCAUAUCCGGCGGCCUCUCCAUGCGUUUGUUGAACUUAUUGCUGGUGUACUGCCGGUAGACCACUUUCUUGUAUCGAGAGCCAAUGAAGCCGCCGUCUUUGUCCAGGAAGGUGGGUGCUGGACUGCGUUUACAAAGGGGACAUGGACUCACUUACAGAAAGAUAUUAGACUGUCUUUGAAUAUUUGAGAAAAUACAGGCAGCAGUUUUUUGAUGCAGUGUCAAUGUCCAAAUACAAAAAAAAUUGCAAAUAUUUCAUCAAAAUGGGGAAUGAGGGGUCAUUUCAAUAUUUAAAAGAAAAUUGGACACGACAUGUAACUUUUGAGCAAUAAAUUGUGCAGAAUUUCAGCCAAAACUGCAGUUGAAUGUGUUUUAUACCAUAACAUUUGUAUUUUGGAUGAACUUAUGCAAUAAUAACAGUAAAAAAGAAAAAAAAGUUAAAGCAGUACUAAGUAACUCAUGCCCCUAGAGGCCAUAAGCGCCACUGCAGGUGCCGUAGCAUGUUGCAUUUUUUUUACUCAUUAAUUGGCCAUGAGAGUAAAUACUACGCUGACAGAAAAGACAAAGGGAGAGAGGGAUAUUGUACAUCCAAUUACACAAUGGAAAUAAUAUUUUUCACUCAAACGUGGCUGUAAAUACUGUUUAAGUGGCGCUAGCCCGCAGUUAGCUUUGCCCGUUAGCCUGUUAGCUUCUUCUUCAUGAUUCCAUUAGUGUGUAUUGCUCCUCCGGGUCGGUGCAGGGAAAGUUGCAAGUGUGGUUCUCUGGCCAGAGACUCCAGGGAGAGAUGAAAGACCCCCCAAUCAUCCUAUUAACACUUGUAUUACCCCCAGAGGGACUACUGAAAAGAUUUAUUAAGGUAAACCAGUUACUUAGUACUGCUUUAAGUCAUCAUUCUCCAUGUCUGUCCAAUUUAAAGACGAUUAAGCCAUAAUGUUGGCACAGUUAAUCUCCAGACCUUGAGAGC
ensembl:lncRNA